rnacentral:rRNA from 1 species
CCUACGGGAGGCAGCAGUGAGGAAUAUUGGUCAAUGGACGCAAGUCUGAACCAGCCAUGCCGCGUGCAGGAAGACGGCUCUAUGAGUUGUACACUGCUUUUGUACGAGGGUAAACGCAGAUACGCGUAUCUCUCUGAAAGUAUCGUACGAAUAAGGAUCGGCUAACUCCGUGCCAGCAGUCGCGGUACUACGGAGGAUACAAGCGUUAUCCUGAUUUAUUGGGUUUAAAGGGUGCGUAGGCGGUCGGUUAAGUUAGAGGUGAAAUCCAGAGGCUCAACUUCGGAAUUGCAUCUGAUACUGUUCGGCUAGAGAGUAGUAGCGGUAUGCGGAAUGUAUGGUGUAGCGGUGAAAUGCUUAGAGAUCAUACAGAACACCGAUUGCGAAGGCAGCCUACCAAGCUACUGCUGACGUUGAGGCACGAAAGCGUGGGGAGCAAACAGGAUUAGAUACCCGUGUAGUC